rnacentral:tRNA from 1 species
GGCUUCGUGGCCUAAUGGCUAGGGCGCUAGAUUUCGGCUCUAGAGAUUGUCGGUUCGAGUCCGGCCGAGGUCG